rnacentral:rRNA from 1 species
GUGGGGAAUCUUCCGCAAUGGACGAAAGUCUGACGGAGCAACGCCGCGUGAGUGAAGAAGGUUUUCGGAUCGUAAAGCUCUUUCGUUAGGGACGAACGUGCUCUUUGUGAAUAAUGAGGAGUAAUGACGGUACCUAAAUAAGAAGCCACGGCUAACUACGUGCCAGCAGCCGCGGUAAUACGUAGGUGGCAAGCGUUGUCCGGAAUUAUUGGGCGUAAAGCGCGCGCAGGCGGGAUAGCAAGUCUGUCUUAAAAGUGCGAGGCUCAACCUCGUGAGGGGACAGAAACUGGUAUUCUUGAGUGUCGGAGAGGAAAGUGGAAUUCCAAGUGUAGCGGUGAAAUGCGUAGAGAUUUGGAAGAACACCAGUGGCGAAGGCGACUUUCUGGACGAUGUCUGACGCUGAGGCGCGAAAGCUAGGGGAGCGAACGGGAUUAGAAACCCUUGUAGUCC